CGAGGUGCUUUUUGUAGCAAUACGAGAAGUAUCCUAGUGGCGAACGGGUGAGUAACGCGUUGGUGACCUGCCCCAAAGUGUGGGAUAACAGUCCGAAAGGAUUGCUAAUACCGCAUGUGGUCAUUGGAUUUAGAAACCGAUGGCUAAAGGAGUAAUCCGCUUUGGGAGGGGCCUGCGUCCCAUCAGCUAGUUGGUAGGGUAACGGCCUACCAAGGCGACGACGGGUAGGGGACCUGAGAGGGUGGCCCCCCACAAUGGAACUGAAACACGGUCCAUACACCUACGGGUGGCAGCAGUAGGGAAUAUUGCUCAAUGGGCGAAAGCCUGAAGCAGCAACGCCGCGUGCGCGAUGAAGGUCUUCGGAUCGUAAAGCGCUUUUCUGCGAGAUGAGAAAGGACAGUAUCGUAGGAAUAAGUCUCGGCUAACUACGUGCCAGCAGCCGCGGUAACACGUAGGAGGCGAGCGUUAUCCGGAUUCACUGGGCGUAAAGCGCGUGCAGGCGGUUUGGUAAGUUAGGCGUGAAAGCUCCCGGCUCAACUGGGAGAGGUCGUCUAAUACUACCAGACUAGAGGACAGUAGAGGAAGGUGGAAUUCCGGGUGUAGUGGUGAAAUGCGUAGAUAUCCGGAGGAACACCAGUGGCGAAAGCGGCCUUCUGGACUGUAACUGACGCUCAGACGCGAAAGCUAAGGUAGCAAACGGGAUUAGAGACCCCGGUAGUCUUAGCUGUAAA
rnacentral:rRNA from 1 species